AUUCAGCCGAUGAGUCUCAAAUAGGAUGAAACACGUGUCCUGAAU
rnacentral:hammerhead_ribozyme from 1 species